rnacentral:rRNA from 1 species
UACAGAGGGUGCGAGCGUUAUCCGGAAUCACUGGGCGUAAAGGGCUCGUAGGCGGCCAACUAAGUCGGACGUGAAAUCCCCAGGCUCAACCUGGGAACUGCGUCCGAUACUGGAUGGCUUGAAUUCGGGAGAGGGAUGCAGAAUUCCAGGUGUAGCGGUGAAAUGCGUAGAUAUCUGGAGGAAUACCGGUGGCGAAGGCGGCAUCCUGGACCGACAUUGACGCUGAUGAGCGAAAGCCAGGGGAGCAAACGGG